GGAGAUAUAGCUCAGCUGGUAGAGUGCUUGCCCUACACACAUGAGGGUCUAGGUUCAAAUCCAAAUACCACCA
rnacentral:tRNA from 1 species